rnacentral:rRNA from 1 species
GACUACCAGGGUAUCUAAGCCCGUUUGCUACCCUAGCUUUCGCGUCUGAGUGUCAGAAAUGGGCCAGGAGGCCGCUUUCGCCACUGGUGUUCCUCCGGAUAUCUACGCAUUUCACCACUACACCCGGAAUUCCGCCUCCCUCUCCCAUCCUCUAGCCCGAAAGUAUUCAACGACCUCUCCCAGUUAAGCCGGGAGCUUUCACAUCGAACUUUCCGAGCCACCUGCACGCGCUUUACGCCCAGUAAAUCCGGAUAACGCUAGUCUCCUACGUGUUACCGCGGCUGCUGGCACGUAGUUAGCCGAGACUUAUUCUGAGGGUACUGUCCUUCCUCAUCCCCUCAAAAAGUGCUUUACAACCCGAAGGCCUUCAUCGCACACGCGGCGUUGCUGGUUCAGGCUUUCGCCCAUUACCAAUAUUCCCUACUGCAGCCCCCCGUAGG